GGAUGUGAGGGCGAUCUGGCUGCCUCAUCUGUCACCCCAUUGAUCGCCAGGGUUGAUUUGGCUGAUCUGGCUGGCUAGUCUGUUGUCCCCUACCCCCCUCACCACUCCAUGUGUGUCCCUCCCGAAGCUGCGUGCUCAGUAGAAGAGGAUGACCAUCCCAGAUAGAAGAACUGCACCAUUCUUUGGUCAAGGCUAUACGAUAGCUGCGCCCCACUGCUAGGACCUCCAAACAAGCUCAAGGGUCCAAUUGUUGGAGAAUGUAGGGUAGUCAAGCUUUCAAGACUCCAGACCCAUCCAAGUAAGGUGCUGAAUUU
rnacentral:snRNA from 1 species